AUGGACAUAUGGAUUGAGUGGUACCCACCUGAAAGAUACACAUCUCAGCAGCCAAGAACUUCAAUAAAAAUGUAUAUCCCAACUCCUUUUAUAAUCUUGAAUGCUUCUCGGUCAACGUCGGUGUCACUUCCAGUCUUGGAUGCUACCAGGAUGCCAGGGAAGAGGUAUGAAAUUCUCAACUUAGGAAGGAACAUACAACCUGUAAUGUGUCGAUCACUAACUAAUAAACAGGAGCCUGAUGUUGGAAAGAAGCAACUGCGGCUCUCCCUCGGCUAUGCCUGGAUGUUCGAGCUGUCAGUGUGGUACAGGAGCAGCAGCCACCAUCGCUGUCAAGUAGCUCCAGCAAUCACGUGCUCACUCUUGCUUCACAGACUAUGUAUGAAAAUUGGAGGUUUUAGGAUCUUUGGAAGUUUUUUGAGGCAUCACCCUUCUUGUCCGCAGCUAAAAGGUUUGACGCAGUACAGUGCGGGGGAGGCGGUGUCCUCUGCAGCUAGGUCUACUUGCUGGCGACCUCACCAUCACCAACCCAUCUACAGAUCCAGAAGCUCACGCAUGGAGGACAUGGACAUUGGUAUCGUCUGUGACGAGGGUUCCCCAGGAUCAAUAGCGUCAAGGACAGGAACGCCUGUGCCCAAUGAUAAUGACUACCUGAUAGUGAUUCCUUAUGCUCACAUCUUUGGCCUCAUGCUGCAAGCUCUAAAGCUUCCCCCUGCAACUUACCAGCACAAAAUAUACCCAGGCGGAAAGAAUCGUGUGACAGUGACUUUCAUUUCUACUUUGGAAUUGCUAGAUGGUUCACUUGUCCCGAGUUCUAUACCAGGUGCAAUCUUAGAUAGCUAUGAAGAUGCAGAAGACAGUGCUGCUAUGGAGGCUAUUAGAUUCAUGGAGAAUGCAUAUGGCAAAGAAAUGAGGGGCUACCACUACACCCAUAUCAAGAGGCUAGAAAAUCAAGUGACGCACCUGGUCAAAUGGUUGACUUCAUCCAAUGAGACAAUCAAGAAGCUGCGCAAAACAUGCUACUACGCUGUCAGGUACAUGAACUCAUAUUCUGCCCGGAUAGAAAACACAACAGCUGCUCGCCACCUGAAAGGUCAGGACAACACCAAAGGAGUUAUGAAAACAGCUCUUGCAAGCAUCGAAGGACUGACGCAAAGGCUACGCUACAUUGCUAUGAAGUUUGAGCAGCGCCUUGAAGCAACCAGAAACAGUUUCUGGUAA
rnacentral:rRNA from 1 species